rnacentral:rRNA from 1 species
GCAGCAGCCGCGGUAAUACGGAGGGUGCAAGCGUUAUCCGGAUUUAUUGGGUUUAAAGGGUCCGUAGGCGGACUUAUAAGUCAGUGGUGAAAGCCUGUCGCUUAACGAUAGAACUGCCAUUGAUACUGUAAGUCUUGAGUAUAUUUGAGGUAGCUGGAAUAAGUAGUGUAGCGGUGAAAUGCAUAGAUAUUACUUAGAACACCAAUUGCGAAGGCAGGUUACCAAGAUAUAACUGACGCUGAGGGACGAAAGCGUGGGUAGCGAACAGGAUUAGAUACCCCAGUAGUCCCUGUCUCUUAUAC